rnacentral:snoRNA from 1 species
UGCAUCUGUGAUGAGACUUUGGCUCCCUCUGCUGAAACAAAUGAGAACAGCCAUAAUCGUUACCCAAAUCUUCUGGGAUGCU